rnacentral:tRNA from 1 species
AAAUUAUUAUUACAAAUAGUAAAUUUAAAAUGAUAUUAGGAGUUAAUUGUAAUUUA